rnacentral:rRNA from 1 species
AGGACGAACGCUGGCGGCGUGCUUAACACAUGCAAGUCGAGCGGAAAGGCCCUUCGGGGUACUCGAGCGGCGAACGGGUGAGUAACACGUGAGUAACCUGCCCUAGACUUUGGGAUAACCCUCGGAAACGGGGGCUAAUACCGGAUACUCCUUGGUCACCGCAUGGUGGUCUCGGGAAAGUUUUUCGGUCUGGGAUGGACUCGCGGCCUAUCAGCUUGUUGGUGGGUAAUGGCCUACCAAGGCGAGGACGGGUAGCC